GCCGGGCGUGGUGGUGCCCGCCUGUAAUCCCAGCUACUCAGGAGGCUGAGGCAGGAGAAUCGCUUGAACCCAGGAGACAGAAGUUGCAGUGAGCCGAGAUCACACCAUUGCACUGCAGCCUGGGUGACAGAGCGAGAUUUUGUCUCAA
rnacentral:SRP_RNA from 1 species